GUUAAUCGGAAUUACUGGGCGUAAAGCGCACGUAGUCGGCUUUGCAAGUCGGGUGUGAAAUCCCCGGGCUCAACCUGGGAACUGCAUCCGAGACUGCAUUGCUAGAGUAUGGGAGAGGGAAGCGGAAUUUCUGGUGUAGCAGUGAAAUGCGUAGAUAUCAGAAGGAACAUCAGUGGCGAAGGCGGCUUCCUGGACCAAUACUGACGAUCAGGUGCGAAAGCGUGGGGAGCAAACAGG
rnacentral:rRNA from 1 species